rnacentral:rRNA from 1 species
AGAGUUUGAUCCUGGCUCAGAACGAACGCUGGCGGCGUGCCUAACACAUGCAAGUCGAGCGAGAAAGUCCCCGCAAGGGGAUGAGUACAGCGGCGAACGGGUGAGUAACACGUGGGCAACCUGCCCUUCAGUCAGGAAUAACCCCGCGAAAGCGGGGCUAAUACCAGAUGACAUCCUUCGGGGGCAUCCCUGGGGGACCAAAGGGGGCGAGCGAAAGCAGCUCUUGCUGAAGGAUGGGCCUGCGGCUGAUUAGCUAGUUGGUGGGGUAACGGCCUACCAAGGCGACGAUCAGUAGCCGACCUGAGAGGGUGACCGGCCACACUGGGACUGAGACACGGUCCAGACUCCUACGGGAGGCAGCAGUGGGGAAUAUUGGACAAUGGGCGAAAGCCUGAUCCAGCCAUGCCGCGUGUGUGAAGAAGGUCUUCGGAUUGUAAAGCACUUUAAGUUGGGAGGAAGGGUAGUAACCUAAUACGUUGCUACUUUGACGUUACCGACAGAAUAAGCACCGGCUAACUUCGUGCCAGCAGCCGCGGUAAUACGAAGGGUGCAAGCGUUAAUCGGAAUUACUGGGCGUAAAGCGCGCGUAGGUGGUUCAGCAAGUUGGAUGUGAAAGCCCUGGGCUCAACCUGGGAACUGCAUCCAAAACUACUGAGCUAGAGUACGGUAGAGGGUAGUGGAAUUUCCUGUGUAGCGGUGAAAUGCGUAGAUAUAGGAAGGAACACCAGUGGCGAAGGCGACUACCUGGACUGAUACUGACACUGAGGUGCGAAAGCGUGGGGAGCAAACAGGAUUAGAUACCCUGGUAGUCC